rnacentral:rRNA from 1 species
UACGGAGGGUGCAAGCGUUAUCCGGAUUCACUGGGUUUAAAGGGUGCGUAGGCGGUUAUGUAAGUCAGCAAGUGAAAUUCCACAGCUUAACUGUAGGGACUGCUUUUGAUACUGCAUGACUUGAACCAAGAUGAGGUAGGCGGAAUGUGGCAUGUAGCGGUGAAAUGCAUAGAUAUGCCAUAGAACACCGAUUGCGAAGGCAGCUUACUAGACUUGUGUCGACGCUGAGGCACGAAAGCGUGGGGAGCGAACAGG